CUUUCUCUCUAUCUCACACAAGCAAGAAGCUCCCCCAUCCUUCUACUGAUUUCUUUUUCUUCUUGCUCACGUCCCCUUCAUCUCAUUUCUUCUCUCCAGAGUCCCUUCUUCUUCGUGGCCACCACUCCACCCACCACCAGAAGUCCACACGUCAAGCAACCCCUCAUUUCAGUUUUUCCUUAGCUCCAUCUCCCUUUCAUUUCUGUUGCCGCCAACAUCACCCUCACUUCACCCAUCACCAACACUCCAUCACCUCACCACCGAGCAGCCAAGGCAGCUGCAGCUUCACCUGGCUAGCAGCGCCACCUCAGCUAGCCCGCCAGCAGCCACCAAAGCCCAGCAACUCAGCCUCAAAUAGAAUCGAAUCCAGCUUUGGCCGUGAACUUCACUGGCCUUUUCAACCUCCGUUGAGUCUCCGUUGGAGAUGCAGUAGUCUUGGGUUCUCACUGCCAUUGCGCCACCAUCGCCAUGAGCAUACCACCGUCCUAAUCCAAUGAAGGUUGAGUAAGGGGGGCGGAGAUGUAUGUGGGCUGCUUGCCUCGUCCCAAAUAGACGAAAUGCAAGAGUGCUCCCAUUUUUUGCUUCCUCUUCAUUACGAGCCCUCUCCAAGAAUGUUUUUGUAGAUUCCGGCUCUUUUGAAUGUGAAUAGUGAGUGAAAUCCCUUGUGCUUGUUGGACAAUGCAUAUUUGGUGAUGUGGUUGACUUUUGGCAUGCUUAGAAUUUAUGCAUGAUGAUAUGUGAAUGGUUGUUCUAUGGU